UACGUAGGGUGCAGGCGUUAAUCGGAAUUACUGGGCGUAAAGCGUGCGCAGGCGGUUUCUUAAGUCAGAUGUGAAAUCUCCGGGCUCAACCCGGAAACUGCCAUUGAUACUAUUAGUCUUGAAUAUUGUUGAGGUAGGCGGAAUAUAUCAUGUAGCGGUGAAAUGCAUAGAUAUGAUAUAGAACACCGAUUGCGAAGGCAGCUUACUAAACAAUUAUUGACGCUGAGGCACGAAAGCGUGGGGAUCAAACAGG
rnacentral:rRNA from 1 species